AAGUCGUAACAAGGUUUCCGUAGGUGAACCUGCGGAAGGAUCAUUAUUGAAUAUUCUUGAUGGGUUGUAGCUGGCUCUUUGGAGCAUGUGCACGCCUGUCUUGACUUAAUUCAUCCACCUGUGCACCUUUUGUAGUCUUGGGGGUUGAGUGCAGUCGACUGUCGGACGGCUAUUGGUAGUCUAUCCGGAUGUGAGGAAUGCUGAGUGCGGAAGCAUACAGCUCUCUUCAAAACGACUUGCAAACCUCUCCCUCGAGUACUAUGUAUUCAUACACCACAUAGUAUGUUGUAGAAUGUGAUCAAUGGGCCUCUGUGCCUAUAAUAAUCAUAUACAACUUUCAGCAACGGAUCUCUUGGCUCUC
rnacentral:misc_RNA from 1 species